rnacentral:rRNA from 1 species
GAGGAAUAUUGGACAAUGGGCGCAAGCCUGAUCCAGCCAUGCCGCGUGCAGGAAGAAGCAUCUAUGGUGUGUAAACUGCUUUUGUACGGGAAGAAACACUCCUACGUGUAGGAGCUUGACGGUACCGUAAGAAUAAGGAUCGGCUAACUCCGUGCCAGCAGCCGCGGUAAUACGGAGGAUCCAAGCGUUAUCCGGAAUCAUUGGGUUUAAAGGGUCCGUAGGCGGUUUAAUAAGUCAGUGGUGAAAUCUGGUCGCUCAACGAUCAAACGGCCAUUGAUACUGUUAGACUUGAAUUACUGGGAAGUAACUAGAAUAUGUAGUGUAGCGGUGAAAUGCUUAGAUAUUACAUGGAAUACCAAUUGCGAAGGCAGGUUACUACCAGUGGAUUGACGCUGAUGGACGAAAGCGUGGGGAGCGAA